AAAAGGAUUUAGGGUUUUCAGAUUCUGGUAGCCAGUCA
rfam:Microcebus murinus cont1.114724, whole genome shotgun sequence.